UACGUAGGGGGCUAGCGUUGUCCGGAAUCAUUGGGCGUAAAGAGCGCGUAGGCGGCCAGAUAAGUCCGGUGUGAAAGUCACAGGCUCAACCUGUGAAUGCCGCUGGAAACUGUCUGGCUAGAGUCCGGAAGGGGCGAGUGGAAUUCCUGGUGUAGCGGUGAAAUGCGCAGAUAUCAGGAGGAACACCGAUGGCGAAGGCAGGUCUCUGGGCCACUACUGACGCUGAGAAGCGAAAGCAUGGGGAGCGAACAGG
rnacentral:rRNA from 1 species